rnacentral:rRNA from 1 species
CCUACGGGUGGCUGCAGUGGGGAAUAUUGGGCAAUGGGCGCAAGCCUGACCCAGCAACGCCGCGUGAAGGAAGAAGGCCCUCGGGUUGUAAACUUCUUUUGUCAAGGGACAAAAUCAGGCUCGAGAGCCUGACCGAGGGUACUUGAAGAAAAAGCAUCGGCUAACUCCGUGCCAGCAGCCGCGGUAAUACGGAGGAUGCGAGCGUUAUCCGGAUUUAUUGGGUUUAAAGGGUGCGUAGGCGGACUGUUAAGUCAGCGGUAAAAGCCCGGGGCUCAACCCCGGCGAGCCGUUGAAACUGGCUGUCUUGAGAUGUCGAGAGGUAUGCGGAAUGCGCAGUGUAGCGGUGAAAUGCUUAGAUAUUGCGCAGAACUCCGAUUGCGAAGGCAGCAUACCGGCGGCGAUCUGACGCUGAGGCACGAAAGCGUGGGUAUCGAACAGGAUUAGAUACCCCGGUAGUC